rnacentral:rRNA from 1 species
CAGCCGCCGCGGGAAUACGUAGGGUGCAAGCGUUAAUCGGAAUUACUGGGCGUAAAGCGUGCGCAGGCGGUUCUAUAAGACAGAUGUGAAAUCCCCGGGCUCAACCUGGGAACUGCAUUUGUGACUGUAGAGCUGGAGUGCGGCAGAGGGGGAUGGAAUUCCGCGUGUAGCAGUGAAAUGCGUAGAUAUGCGGAGGAACACCGAUGGCGAAGGCAAUCCCCUGGGCCUGCACUGACGCUCAUGCACGAAAGCGUGGGGAGCAAACAGGAUUAGAUACCCCGGUAGUCCCUGUCUCUUAUAA